CAGACGACCUCCGAUAGCGUUGCUCGUGAUGGACGUUGACCGGCUCCAACAAGAACCCUGACAGGUUGUGUUGGGUCAACGACUCACGUUAAAAGCUGCCAGUCGAGCCUCUGUUCAUUUAAUACACAUCGUAAUUUUGAUUUGUUGUUUUUUUUUACACGUUAGAGUUUUUAUGCACGUAGAGAUCACUGCAUUAUUUCCAUCUCUGGAUGGAAGACCACCAAGACGACUAAAAAGGGAAGUCAAGAAAACCCAAGUCCUCCUCUCUGGAUGGUUGAUAGGAUUGUUAUGGUAUCUUUCUACACAUUUCACAUAUUAUAAGCAAAUCACAGUGAGGUCAUCAUGACAACCCACGGGUGUGCAUGCUUUUACACAUAUAUCUUGAAGCUGGUGCUCUCUCCAAAGCCACGACUGAGGAGCAAUUAACAGGGAAAACGAAUUAUAUCAAUUUUCUAAAAUCUAAAUGAGGACCUGUGCAUUUCAUUCAGAACUGGAGAUGAGCCUGAAUUAUGUGGCUAAAAUGGAAGAGGAAAAAGGCUGCCCUGACUGAUUCUUUGUGCCUGAAAUCCAUGAACGUGUAAUUGAUUCUACCCCCAUUAAGUCUGAUUAUUUCUUCCAGCACAUUAGUUAAGAUCUCUGCCAUUUCCUCACUCCUGAUUUACAGGAUCUUCUAGCAUCAGCCAGCCAUUGUUGAAAUAAUAUAAAGCCUGCCCUCAUUUUUCAGCAUAGCGGUUGGAAGGUUCUUCUAGAUACAAUAAAUUACCAGUGGGAAUUGUGGUAUGACCGACAUUUUAUAACUGGUGAAAUCACGAUUUAAUUCUCUUGAUCUACUGAAUGAAUAAGUCACAGGGGAUUUGUUUACACACCACACAAACAAGGAAACCACAUUGUUAGUAUAACGUCUAUGUCCUCUCUGGUAUGACUGACUGCCUUUCAUUCAAUAAGAGAUUUCCACUCCUGGUUGCUUAAAAAUCCAACAUUUCUCAAAUGGAUUCAGUAUUUUUGAACAUUUUGGUUCAUUCCAUUAAAUACAUUC